rnacentral:tRNA from 1 species
UUUUCUGUGGCUUAGUUGGUUAAAGCGUCGGACUAGCGAUGCGCAGUCGUGGGUUCAAAUCACACGAAAAC